ACGGUUACCUUGUUACGACUUCAUCCCAGUCACCAAUCCCACCUUCGGCAGCUCCUUCCCCAAGGGGUUAGGCCACUGACUUCGGGUGUUACCGACUUCCGUGAUGUGACGGGCGGUGUGUACAAGCCCCGAGAACGUAUUCACCGUGGCUUUGCUGAUCCACGAUUACUAGCGACUCCGGCUUCAUGGAGUCGAGUUGCAGACUCCAAUCCGAACUGAGGACGACUUUACGGGAUUGGCUGACCCUCGCGGGAUCGCAGCCCAUUGUAUCGCCCAUUGUAGCAUGCGUGCAGCCCUGGAUAUAAGGGGCAUGAUGACUUGACAUCGUCCUCGCCUUCCUCCGAGUUGUCCCCGGCAGUCUCCCAUGAGUCCCCACCAUUACGUGCUGGCAACAUAGGACAAGGGUUGCGCUCGUUGCGGGACUUAACCCAACAUCUCACGACACGAGCUGACGACAGCCAUGCACCACCUGUCAUGGGCGCUUACGCACACUGUGUUUCCACAGCUAGACCCAUGAUGUCAAACCCAGGUAAGGUUCUUCGGGUUGCAUCGAAUUAAGCCGCAUGCUCCGCCGCUUGUGCGGGGCCCCGUCAAUUCCUUUGAGUUUUAGCCUUGCGGCCGUACUCCCCAGGCGGAACACUUAACGCGUUAGCUACGGCGCAGCAGACGUGAAUCAGUCCGCCACACCUAGUGUUCAUC
rnacentral:rRNA from 1 species